rnacentral:rRNA from 1 species
GAUGAACGCUGGCGGCGUGCCUAACACAUGCAAGUCGAGCGGCAGCGAGGGGUGCUUGCACCCUGCCGGCGAGCGGCGGACGGCUGAGUAACGCGUGGGAACGUGCCCCAAAGUGAGGAAUAACUGCCCGAAAGGGUAGCUAAUACCGCAUAUUAUCUUCGGAUCAAAGGAUUUAUCCGCUUUGGGAGCGGCUCGCGUCGGAUUAGGUAGUUGGUGAGGUAAUGGCUCACCAAGCCGACGAUCCGUAGCUGGUCUGAGAGGAUGACCAGCCAGACUGGAACUGAGACACGGUCCAGACUCCUACGGGAGGCAGCAGUGAGGAAUCUUCCACAAUGGGCGAAAGCCUGAUGGAGCAACGCCGCGUGCAGGACGAAGGCCUUAGGGUUGUAAACUGCUUUUAUAAGUGAGGAAUAUGACGGUAACUUAUGAAUAAGGAUCGGCUAACUACGUG